AACGAACGCUGGCGGCGCGCCUAAUACAUGCAAGUCGAGCGAGAAGACGUAGCAAUACGUUUGUAAAGCGGCGAACGGGUGAGGAAUACAUGGGUAACCUACCCUCGAAGUGGGGGAAUAACUAGCCGAAAGGUUAGCUAAUACCGCGUACGCUCCUUGGACUUCGGUUCAGGGAGGAAAGCGAUGCCGAGGGUAUCGCGCUCUUGGAUGGGCUCAUGGUCCUAUCAGCUUGUUGGGAGGUAACGGGCUCACCAAGGCUUCGACGGGUAGCUGGUCUGAGAGGACAAUCAGCCACACUGGCACUGCGACACGGGCCAGACUCCUACGGGAGGCAGCAGUAAGGAAUAUUGCGCAAUGGGCGAAAGCCUGACGCAGCGACGCCGCGUGGGGGAGUGAAGGUC
rnacentral:rRNA from 1 species